rnacentral:rRNA from 1 species
UACGGAGGGUGCAAGCGUUAUCCGGAUUCACUGGGCUUAAAGGGCGCGUAGGUGGGCAGGUAAGUCAGUGGUGAAAUCCUGUAGCUUAACUACAGAACUGCCAUUGAUACUAUUUGUCUUGAAUACCCUGGAGGUGAGCGGAAUAUGUCAUGUAGCGGUGAAAUGCUUAGAUAUGACAUAGAACAUCUAUUGCGAAGGCAGCUCACUGCGGGAAUAUUGACGCUGAGGCACGAAAGCGUGGGGAUCAAACAGG